rnacentral:rRNA from 1 species
GGGAGGCAGCAGUGGGGAAUCUUAGACAAUGGGCGAAAGCCUGAUCUAGCCAUGCCGCGUGAGUGAUGAAGGCCCUAGGGUCGUAAAGCUCUUUCAACUGUGAAGAUAAUGACGGUAGCAGUAGAAGAAACCCCGGCUAACUCCGUGCCAGCAGCCGCGGUAAU